rnacentral:rRNA from 1 species
ACUCAAAUGAAUUGACGGGGGCCCGCACAAGCAGCGGAGCGUGUGGUUUAAUUCGAGGCUACGCGAAGAACCUUACCAGGGAAUGACAGGUAGAUGGUAGCGAGGUGAAAGCUGAGCGACCCUUCGGGGAGUCUACCCAGGUGCUGCAUGGCUGUCGUCAGCUCGUGCCGUGAGGUGUUAGGUUAAGUCCUGUAACGAGCGCAACCCUCGUCGUUAGUUACAAGUGUCUAACGAGACCGCCGGUGAUAAGCCGGAGGAAGGUGGGGAUGAAGUCAAGUCAGCAUGGCCUUUAUAUCCUGGGCUACACACACGCUACAAUGGCCGGUACAAUGGGUUGCCAAGUCGUGAGACGGAGCCAAUCCCGCAAAGCCGGUCUCAGUUCGGAUGGCAGGCUGCAACUCGCCUGCCUGAAGUCGGAGUUGCUAGUAACCGCGCGUCAGCACAGUGCGGUGAAUACGUUCCCGGGCCUUGCACACACCGCCCGU